rnacentral:snoRNA from 1 species
ACGUCUCUUACCUCGCUCGAUCUGCAUGCUUUUGGCCUCUAUUGCUUGAUCUUGAGCUGGAUGCCUGUCUGCCGCUGCUCUCCUGCGGCGGCGGCACGCAUGAGACAAGAACAAGUUUACCCACUGCCGAUCUUUGAGUACGAUUCCAUCGUCCCCCCUCGAGGGGGUUUGUGGUGGGCAUUGUAAUUUAUACGGCAGGACAG